AACUUGAGAGUUUGAUCCUGGCUCAGAACGAACGCUGGCGGCAUGCCUAACACAUGCAAGUCGAACGAGACCUUCGGGUCUAGUGGCGCACGGGUGCGUAACGCGUGGGAAUCUGCCCUUAGGUACGGAAUAAC
rnacentral:rRNA from 1 species